rnacentral:rRNA from 1 species
UACGUAGGUGGCAAGCGUUGUCCGGAUUUACUGGGCGUAAAGAGCGCGCAGGCGGUCGUUCAAGUCGCGUGUGAAAGCCCCCGGCUCAACUGGGGAGGGUCACGCGAUACUGAUCGACUCGAAGGCAGGAGAGGGUAGUGGAAUUCCCGGUGUAGUGGUGAAAUGCGUAGAUAUCGGGAGGAACACCAGUGGCGAAGGCGACUACCUGGCCUGUUCUUGACGCUGAGGCGCGAAAGCUAGGGGAGCGAACAGG